ACGCUCGACACCUACGGGAGGCAGCAGUGGGGAAUAUUGCACAAUGGGGGAAACCCUGAUGCAGCGACGCCGCGUGAGCGAAGAAGUAUUUCGGUAUGUAAAGCUCUAUCAGCAGGGAAGAAAAUGACGGUACCUGACUAAGAAGCCCCGGNUAACUACGUGCCAGCAGCCGGUAGUAUCGAGCGGCGNGNGACGAG
rnacentral:rRNA from 1 species